rnacentral:rRNA from 1 species
CAGUAGUCACGUAGUUGAUCGUGCUACAGAACACGCUGGCGGCAUGCCUAACACAUGCAAGUCGAACGAGACCUUCGGGUCUAGUGGCGCACGGGUGCGUAACGCGUGGGAACCUGCCUUUAGGUUCGGAAUAACUCAGAGAAAUUUGAGCUAAUACCGGAUAAUGUCUUCGGACCAAAGAUUUAUCGCCUUUAGAUGGGCCCGCGUUGGAUUAGCUAGUUGGUGGGGUAAAGGCCUACCAAGGCGACGAUCCAUAGCUGGUCUGAGAGGAUGAUCAGCCACACUGGGACUGAGACACGGCCCAGACUCCUACGGGAGGCAGCAGUGGGGAAUAUUGGACAAUGGGCGAAAGCCUGAUCCAGCAAUGCCGCGUGAGUGAUGAAGGCCUUAGGGUUGUAAAGCUCUUUACCCGAGAUGAUAAUGACAGUAUCGGGAGAAUAAGCUCCGGCUAACUCCGUG